UUAAAGGGCUACUCUAAGUACGUUGGGUAGUCGCCGUAGGAUAGGACAGUCGCGGAUCAUGGUUGAUGAAAGGGUAAAGUCCUUUCAUGCCUGUGACCCGGACGGGCGAUGUAAGUCGUGGCCCGGAGAAGGGAACUGAGACAAGGUCCCUAGCCCCACGGGGUGCAGCAGUUACGAAACCUCACCAAUGCGCGAAAGCGUGAGUGGGCCAAGCCGAGUGAUGGGAGAUAAUUCCAUCUGUGGCGAAACCGUAGUAAGGUUCGCUAGAAAGGAGAGGGCAAGGCUGGUGCCAGCCGCCGCGGUAAAACCAGCUCUUCGAGUGGUGUCCAUGAUUAUUGAGCUUAAAGCGUUCGUAGCCUGUUUGGUAGGUUCCUGCUCAAAUCCGGUCGCUUAACGGUCGGACUGGUAGGAAUACCGCCUUACUUGGGGACGGGAGACGGCGACGGUAUUCCGUAGGUAAGGGUGAAAUCUAAUGAUCUACGGAGGACCACCAGUGGCGAAGGCGGUCGUCGAGAACGUGCCCGACGGUGAGGGACGAAACCCAGGGGAGCAAAUCGGAUUAGAUACCCGAGUAGUCCUGGGCGUAAACGAUGACCGUUAAGUGUUGCAUUGGCCACGAGCCACUGCAGUGCUGUAGCGAAAGCGAUAAACGGGCCGCUUGGGAAGUACGGUCGCAAGACUGAAACUUAAAGAAAUUGGCGGGGGAGCACCACAAGGGGUGGAGCUUGCGGUUUAAUUGGACAACGCCGGAAAUCUUACCCGCCCAGACAGCCGAAUGAGAGCCAGACUGAUGAUCUUGCUCGACGAGCUGAGAGCUGGUGCAUGGCCAUCGUAAAUUCGUGCCGUGAGGUAUCAGCUUAAGUGCUGCAACGAAUGAGAUCCCUGCCACCUAGUUGCCAGCCGGGGGCUUCGGCCCUGACGGGGCACACUAGGGGGACCGCUAGCGAGAAGCUGGAGGAAGGUGGGGGCCACGGUAGGUCAGUAUGCCGCGAUAUGGGCGGGGCCACACGCGUGCUACAAUGGCUGGGACAAUGCGUCACAACACCGAAAGGUGAAGUCAAUCGCGAAACCCAGUCGUAGUUGGAAUCGGGGGUUGGAACUCACCCCCGUGAACCUGGAAUCCCUAGUAUCCGCGUGUCACUAUCGCGCGGAGAAUACGUCCCUGCUUCUUGCACACACCGCCCGUCGCUCCAUGCGAGCGGAUCUGGGGUGAGGCAUCGUCCACUGGGCGCUGGCGAAUCUUGGGUUCGCAAGUAGGGAGAAGUCGUAACAAGGUA
rnacentral:rRNA from 1 species